GACGAACGCUGGCGGCGUGCUUAACACAUGCAAGUCGAACGGAAAGGCCCUGCUUUUGUGGGGUGCUCGAGUGGCGAACGGGUGAGUAACACGUGAGUAACCUGCCCUUGACUUUGGGAUAACUUCAGGGAACUGGGGCUAAUACCGGAUAGGAGCUCCUGCUGCAUGGUGGGGGUUGGAAAGUUUCGGCGGUUGGGGAUGGACUCGCGGCUUAUCAGCUUGUUGGUGGGGUAGUGGCUUACCAAGGCUUUGACGGGUAGCCGGCCUGAGAGGGUGACCGGCCACAUUGGGACUGAGAUACGGCCCAGACUCCUACGGGAGGCAGCAGUGGGGAAUAUUGCACAAUGGGCGGAAGCCUGAUGCAGCAACGCCGUGUGCGGGAUGACGGCCUUCGGGUUGUAAACCGCUUUCGCCUGUGACGAAGCGUGAGUGACGGUAAUGGGUAAAGAAGCACCGGCUAACUACGUG
rnacentral:rRNA from 1 species